UGUUGGAUGUUAUAUAAGUCAAAUGCAAUGUAACUAUGAUCAGAAGCAUGUUUGGAGAAUAGCUUAUUUGAGAAGCUAUUUGGAAAAGCUGCCAGAAUGCUGCAGGAAAACUAGAAAAAUACUUUUGUUUUUAGGCUGUUUUUGUUUAGCUUUUGUUUGUUACUUUGUUUAGUGUUAGUAGGCACUAUAUAUAUACAUUUUGUAACAUGUUGAAUGAAUUAAUGCCAUAUGAUUUUUA
rnacentral:lncRNA from 1 species